rnacentral:rRNA from 1 species
AUUGAACGCUGGCGGCAGGCCUAACACAUGCAAGUCGAGCGGAGGAAGGGAGCUUGCUCCUGGUUUCAGCGGCGGACGGGUGAGUAAUGCCUAGGAAUCUGCCUGGUUGUGGGUGAUAACGUCCGGAAACGGGCGCUAAUACCGCAUACGUCCUGAGGGAGAAAGUGGGGGAUCUUCGGACCUCACGCUAUCAGAUGAGCCUAGGUCGGAUUAGCUAGUUGGUGGGGUAAAGGCCUACCAAGGCGACGAUCCGUAACUGGUCUGAGAGGAUGAUCAGUCACACUGGAACUGAGACGAGGUCCAGACUCCUACGGGAGGCAGCAGUGGGGAAUAUUGGACAAUGGGCGAAAGCCUGAUCCAGCCAUGCCGCGUGUGUGAAGAAGGUCUUCGGAUUGUAAAGCACUUUAAGUUGGGAGGAAGGGCAGUAAGUUAAUACCUUGCUGUUUUGACGUUACCAACAGAAUAAGCACCGGCUAACUUCGUG